rnacentral:rRNA from 1 species
AUGAACGCUAGCGGCAGGCCUAAUACAUGCAAGCUGAACGGUAAAUAUUGUAGCAAUACGAUAUGAGAGUAGCGUAAGGGUGCGUAACACGUAUGCAAUCUGCCCUGUACAGGAGGAUAGCUCGGGGAAACUCGGAUUAAUACUCCGUAAUAUUAUUGGUAGGCAUCUAUUGAUAAUUAAAGUCGCAAGACGGUAUGGGAUGAGCAUGCGUCUGAUUAGCUAGUUGGUGAGGUAAUAGCUCACCAAGGCGACGAUCGAUAGCUGGUCUGAGAGGAUGAUCAGCCAGACUGGGACUGAGACACGGCCCAGACUCCUACGGGAGGCAGCAGUAGGGAAUUUUCCACAAUGGGCGAAAGCCUGAUGGAGCAACGCCGCGUGCAGGAUGAAUGCCUUAGGGUUGUAAACUGCUUUUAUAUGUGACGAUUAUGACGGUAGCAUAUGAAUAAGGAUCGGCUAACUCCGUGCCAGCAGCCGCGGUCAUACGGAGGAUCCAAGCGUUAUCCGGAAUUACUGGGCGUAAAGAGUUGCGUAGGUGGCAUAGUAAGUAGAUAGUGAAAGCGUGUGGCUCAACCAUACAUCCAUUGUCUAAACUGCUAAGCUAGAGUAUGAGAGAGGUAGAUGGAAUUCCCAGUGUAGGAGUGAAAUCCGUAGAUAUUGGGAGGAACACCGAUGGCGUAGGCAGUCUACUGGCUCAUUACUGACACUAAGGCACGAAAGCGUGGGGAGCAAACGGGAUUAGAUACCCCGGUAGUCCACGCCGUAAACUAUGGAUGCUAGCUGUUAGAAGUAUCGACCCUUCUAGUAGCGAAGCUAACGCGUUAAGCAUCCCGCCUGUGGAGUACGGUCGCAAGACUAAAACAUAAAGGAAUUGACGGGGACCCGCACAAGCGGUGGAGCGUGUUGUUUAAUUCGAUGGUAAGCGAAGAACCUUACCCAGGCUUGACAUCCUUGGAAGGCAUCCGAAAGGAUACUGUGCCCUCGGGAACCAAGUGACAGGUGAUGCAUGGCCGUCGUCAGCUCGUGUCGUGAGAUGUUUGGUUAAGUCCAUCAACGAGCGCAACCCUUUUAGUUAGUUGUAUUUCUCUAGCUAGACUGCCCUGGUAACAGGGAGGAAGGAGGGGAUGAUGUCAGGUCAGUAUUUCCCUUACGUCUGGGGCUACAAACACGCUACAAUGGCCGGUACAAAGGGCAGCCAAGGCGCAAGCUGGAGCAAAUCCCAUCAAAGCCGGUCUCAGUUCGGAUUGCAGGCUGAAACUCGCCUGCAUGAAGCUGGAAUCGCUAGUAACGGUAGGUCAGCACACUACCGUGAAUACGUUCCCGGGUCUUGCACUCACCGCC